rnacentral:rRNA from 1 species
AUACGUAGGGAGCGAGCGUUGUCCGGAAUUACUGGGUGUAAAGGGGGCGUAGGCGGGAUGGCAAGUCAGAUGUGAAAACUAUGGGCUCAACCCAUAGACUGCAUUUGAAACUGUUGUUCUUGAGUGAAGUAGAGGUAAGCGGAAUUCCUGGUGUAGCGGUGAAAUGCGUAGAUAUAAGGAAGAACACCAGUGGCGAAGGCGGUCUACUGGACAGUAACUGACGCUGAGGCGCGAAAGCGUGGGGAGCAAACAGGAUUAGAUACCCUGGUAGUCCACGCUGUAAACGAUGAUUACUAGGUGUGGGGGGACUGACCCCUUCCGUGCCGCAGUUAACACAAUAAGUAAUCCACCUGGGGAGUACGGCCGCAAGGUUGAAACUCAAAUGAAUUGGCGGGG